CGCCGGCUCUCCCUCCGUGCUCGUCGUCGGCGCUCGCUCUUCGGCCGCCCUACCUCCGAGAUACAAUUAGGCGGCCGGCUCAUUUACGCGCGAUCAAUGCGCAACACAGGCUCUAAAUCACGCUUCUUCGCCGCGCGCUGGCCCGUCGCUCGCUGCCAUCUUCGGUUCGGUGGAGAGCGUCUGCGCCCGAGGGCCUGCACGUGCGGCGGCGGAACCGGACGGAGAGUUCCGGUGGAGAUCUCCCACGUUGAGGAGAGAGGCUCUCACCUGUCUGGCGCGCGCGGCUGCCGCGGGAACAAUGGGAUGAAACUGGGAAGACGGGACAUUGGGAAAGGACUCUCGCGCGAAAAACGGACGACGACGGAUGGGCUAGGAGGUGGCGACUGCGACCUCGGGCGGCAGCCCGAUGACUUGGUCCGGACCUUACCCUGAACCGGACCCUCGACAGGGAUUUCCCCAAGAUGUUGCGUGGUCUAGCACCGCAGAGACAAUCGCCAGCUGUAGCAGUGGCAACGCACCCCCCAGCUCCAAAGGCUUCCUCCUCGAAGACCCUACUCGAUCCCGGAACUCCCAAGCAGAAUAGGACUUGGCUCCUGGAUACAGAGCCUUGACCAUCACCCUGCAUCUGGAGGACAGCCUGCACGACCGACUCCUUUCGGGUCUUCCACCCGCUGACUCGCAAACUUGGGAAUCGUUAUGGCUGUCGAGGAGUUUGAAGUCGCCCGCCUUUGUGUACUCCUAUUUCUCGAGUUCGGGUGUGGUCCAGUGAU